UACGAAGGGGGCUAGCGUUGCUCGGAAUCACUGGGCGUAAAGGGUGCGUAGGCGGAUCUUUAAGUCAGGGGUGAAAUCCCAGAGCUCAACUCUGGAACUGCCUUUGAUACUGGGGAUCUCGAGUUCGGGAGAGGUGAGUGGAACUGCGAGUGUAGAGGUGAAAUUCGUAGAUAUUCGCAAGAACACCAGUGGCGAAGGCGGGCAUCUGGGCCAACACUGACGCUGAGGUGCGAAAGCGUGGGGAGCAAACAGG
rnacentral:rRNA from 1 species